UACGUAGGGUGCGAGCGUUAAUCGGAAUUACUGGGCGUAAAGCGUGCGCAGGCGGCUCUUCAAGUCAGAUGUGAAAGCCCCGGGCUUAACCUGGGAAUGGCGUUUGAAACUGGAGGGCUGGAGUGUGGCAGAGGGAGGUGGAAUUCCACGUGUAGCAGUGAAAUGCGUAGAGAUGUGGAGGAACACCGAUGGCGAAGGCAGCCUCCUGGGCCAACACUGACGCUCAUGCACGAAAGCGUGGGGAGCAAACAGG
rnacentral:rRNA from 1 species